UGCGCAGGCGGCUCCUUAAGUCAGAUGUGAAAGCCCCGGGCUUAACCUGGGAACUGCGUUUGAAACUGGGGAGCUAGAGUGUAGAAGAGGGGGUGGAAUUCCAGGUGUAGCAGUGAAAUGCGUAGAGAUCUGGAGGAACACCGAUGGCGAAGGCAGCCCCCUGGGCUAACACUGACGCUCAUGCACGAAAGCGUGGGAGCAAACA
rnacentral:rRNA from 1 species